UACGUAGGGUGCAAGCGUUAAUCGGAAUUACUGGGCGUAAAGCGUGCGCAGGCGGUUUUGUAGUCUGUCGUGAAAGCCCCGGGCUCAACCUGGGAAUUGCGAUGGAGACUGCAAGGCUUGAAUCUGGCAGAGGGGGGUAGAAUUCCACGUGUAGCAGUGAAAUGCGUAGAGAUGUGGAGGAACACCGAUGGCGAAGGCAGCCCCCUGGGUCAAGAUUGACGCUCAUGCACGAAAGCGUGGGGAGCAAACAGG
rnacentral:rRNA from 1 species